ACGAGGGGUCCAAGCGUUGUUCGGAAUCAUUGGGCGUAAAGCGGGUGUAGGUGGCUCUAUAAGUCAGACGUGAAAUCCCUCGGCUCAACCGGGGAACUGCGUCUGAUACUGGGUGGCUUGAAUCCGGGAGAGGGAUGCGGAAUUCCAGGUGUAGCGGUGAAAUGCGUAGAUAUCUGGAGGAACACCGGUGGCGAAGGCGGCAUCCUGGACCGGCAUUGACGCUGAGGCGCGAAAGCCAGGGGAGCAAACGGGA
rnacentral:rRNA from 1 species